UACGGGGGGGGCAAGCGUUGUUCGGAAUUACUGGGCGUAAAGGGCUCGUAGGUGGCCAACUAAGUCAGACGUGAAAUCCCUCGGCUUAACCGGGGAACUGCGUCUGAUACUGGAUGGCUUGAGUGUGGGAGAGGGAUGCGGAAUUCCAGGUGUAGCGGUGAAAUGCGUAGAUAUCUGGAGGAACACCGGUGGCGAAGGCGGCAUCCUGGACCACGACUGACGCUGAGGAGCGAAAGCCAGGGGAGCAAACGGG
rnacentral:rRNA from 1 species